GGCAGCAGGCGGCUCUGUACGCAGCCAUCAGACCCUGCAGGUGGAGUCUCCCCCUCUGACCCGGGACAGGAGAGUCCCUGCCGCCGGCGAUGCCCCCUAAAGCCUCUGCCCCAGUGCUGUGUCUGCCUCCCUGGGGAGCCCCGAAACACAGAGGGCGGCCUCUGAGAACCCCACAGGCGUUGCAUUCACACGGACGGAGUGAUGCUGACGGGCAGACAGCAAUGACAAACACGGGGUAACAAUUCUCUGGUCAAAGACCCUUAGAGCAACAAGAAAAAGGCACCGUGGACACCAGGGUCCCCCGUGACUCUGUCCCUGGCGACUCCCUGGUGGAGAGUCUGCAGCCCCGGAGGAGCCCCCGAUCCUGCUGCACCUUCAAUGUCUCCCACACCUGACUCUGCAGAAGCAGGAACCCUGCAGGAGUGGACAUGGGGGGGGCCUUGAAACUUCUGGGAUAAGGCAUGUGGGGAGCCUGGAAACAGCCAGUGUUUGGGGAGGGUGGGUGCCCUCAGGGGAGGGUCUCUCCCAGCUGGGCACCCCCUCAGCUGUGCCCAGAAAAGGCUCUCAGGGCGGAGGGCGUGAGAAGGCGGCUGCCUCCCGGGCCAGAUUCAGGAGCUGUUACUCAAUAACUGCUGUCUGUGCCGUCCCCACCCUCCCAGGCCCUGCUGCCUGUGUUGCCACAUGAUUCACAGGUCUGAGUUCGUAUAAAAACCACAGAGCCAGGUCCCACCCCAGAGGUGCAGCUGCUCCGCCACCCACUGCCCUGCAGCCGGCUCAGAAGCAUGGUGCUCGGUGGCUGCAAUGGCAGGGCCCUGAGCUCCACCGGGUCUCCCCCGAGGGUGCAGGGCCCAUGCUCUCAGACCGUCUUCUGCUGCUUUCCCACUGCAUAGCAGGAGCUGCAUCAGACGUGGAGCAGCCGGGGCUUGAACCAGGACCCGUGGGUGAUGCCGCUGUCUCAGCUGCCGUCUUCCUCUCUGCCCUCCUGGGCUCGCUCUCGGAAGGAGUCCCAGGGCCUGACGGUCUGUGGCUGUGCCAGCCAGCGCCCAGGUGCGG
rnacentral:lncRNA from 1 species